rnacentral:tRNA from 1 species
GCCCAUGUAAUCCAAUCGGUAGAGAUAGAGGACUUAAAAUCCUUCCAGUGCCAGUUCGAGUCUGGCCAUGGGCACCA